CUGUUUACCAAAGACAUAGCCCUAGAAAAUAUCUAAGGUGUGACCUGCCCAAUGGUUUUAAAUUAAAAACUGAUAGACACUAUUUAAUAAGACUUAAAGGACGCGGUAACCUUGACCGUGAUAAUGUAGCAUAAUCAUUCGCCAUUUAAUUGAUGGAUAGUAUGAAUGGUUGAACGAAUAUUCCCNUGUCUUAAAAAGAAAUUUAUAAAAUUGAAAUAAUAGUUAAGAUGCUAUUUAAAAUUGUUAGACGAAAAGACCCUAUAGAGCUUAACUAUAAUCUUUCUUUUAUCAGAAAGAUAGGUAGUUUAAUUGGGGCGAUUAUCUUUAAAAAUAACAAAGAUGAAUAAAAAAAUAAUAAGAAAAAUGUGUAAUUAAUAAAUUUAACAAAUACUAAAGUAGAUUAUAAUGACCCGUUAUUAGUUUACAGAAAUUAUAACGAUUAACAAAUAAAAGCUACCUUAGGGAUAACAGGAUAAUUUUAUUUCAGAGAUCUUAUCAAAAUAAAGUUUGUCACCUCUAUGUUGAAUUGAGAUAUCCUGGUGAUGCAGAAGUCACCAAAGGUGGGUCUGUUCGACCCUUAAAAUCUUACAUGAUUUGAGUUCAUUCCGUCGCAAGACAGGAANUUUCUAUCUYUGAAGAUAGAGUUAUUGUGUGUAGGUU
rnacentral:rRNA from 1 species